GACUCGUACGGUUGGGCAGCAGUGAGGGAUAUUGCACAAUGGGGGGAACCUUGAUUGCAGCAACGCCGCGUGGAGGUAUGACGCAUUUCGGUGUGUAAACUCCUUUUAUAUGUCACAGUAAAAUGACGGUAGCAUAUGAAUAAGCACCGGCUAACUCCGUGCCAGCAGCCGCGGUAAUACGGAGGGUGCUAGCGUUACUCGGAAUCACUGGGCGUAAAGGACGCGUAGGCUGUUUAGCAAGUCAGAUGUGAAAUCCAAUGGCUCAACCAUUGAACUGCAUUUGAAACUGCUAGACUAGAGUAUGGGAGGGGCAGAUGGAAUUAGUGGUGUAGGGGUAAAAUCCGUAGAUAUCACUAGGAAUACCUAAAGCGAAGGCGAUCUGCUGGAACAUUACUGACGCUAAGGCGUGAAAGCGUGGGGAGCAAACAGGAUUAGAUACCCUGGUAGUCCACGCCCUAAACGAUGAACACUAGUCGUCGCUCUGCUAGUCAGGGCGGUGAUGCACUUAACAGGUUAAGUGUUCCGCCUGGGGAGUACGUCGCAGAUUAUACUCAAAGGAAUAGACGGGACCCGCACAAGUGGUGGAGCAUGUGGUUUAUUCGUAGAUACGCGAAAAACCUUACCUGGCCUUGACAUUGAUAGUAAUCCUGUAGAGAUACGGGAGUGCCCUUCGGGGAGCUUGAAAACAGGUGCUGCACGGCUGUCGUCAGCUCGUGUCGUGAGAUGUUGGGUUAAGUCCCGCAACGAGCGCAACCCUCGUCCUUAGUUGCCAGCAGGUUAAGCUGGGCACUCUAGGGAGACUGCCUUCGCAAGGAGGAGGAAGGUGAGGACGACGUCAAGUCAUCAUGGCCCUUACGGCCAGGGCUACACACGUGCUACAAUGGGGCGUACAGAGAGUUGCGAUACCGCGAGGUGGAGCCAAUCUCUUAAAGCGUCUCUCAGUUCGGAUUGUUCUCUGCAACUCGAGAGCAUGAAGCUGGAAUCACUAGUAAUCGUGGAUCAGCAUUGCCACGGUGAAUACGUUCCCGGGUCUUGUACUCACCGCCCGUCACACCAUGGGAGUUGAUUUUACCCGAAAUCGGGAAGCCAACCUUUUAGGAGGCUACCGCUUACGGUGGA
rnacentral:rRNA from 1 species